UUUUCUUUCUCCCAGGGAGCAGGCCAGAGGAAUCUUCUGCUAGGGAGAGAGGCCCUCAUCCAGCCUGUGUCCUAGGGUUGCCAGCCUCCAGGUGGUGGCUGAAGAUCUCCCGGAAUUACAACUGAUCUCCAGGUGACAGAGAUCAGUUCACCUGGAGAAAAUGGCUGCUUUGGAGGGUGGACUGUAUGGCAUUAUACCAUUCUGAGGCCUCUUCCCUCCACAAACCCCAUCUUCUCCAGGCUCCACCUCCCAAGUCUCCAGGAAUUUCCCAGCUUGGACCUGUCCAGUGUUACUUGCUAAGGAGAUGAUUCAAUUUUAUAAGACAGUUCAAAUUCGAUGGGAUAUUAACACCAAGAUAUGGCUGCAAUGGAAAUAAUUUGGCCUCUUAAGACAGCUUUGAAAGCGUCCCAUUUUAUAUGAGGUAAUAUAUCAGGUGAGUUAUUGUCUUUUAGAUAAUUUUCUAUGGCUUGUCUUAUUUGUUUGGAGAUAUUUUCAUUGUAAAGUAAUGCUUUAUUAAAUGUCCAAUGUCUUUCAGGUCUUGAAUUCAUAUUUAGUGAAACUGUGCAAGUUGUCCAUGCGUGAUCGGACCACGUGAUGUUUCCAAUUUUCGAGCUAAUAAUGGUGUUUCUUAAUUCUUCUGCUACUAAAGUAUAAUCUAUCCUGGUAUGUGUGUUAUGUCUUGCUGAAUAAUAUGUAUAGUCUUUCAUUGCCAUGCAUAAGUCGCCGUAUGUCUAUUAAGAUAUGCUUUUUCAAUGAUGCCAAUUUUGUAUUUUGCAGUGUAAGCGAAGUAUAGUUAUGCCUAUGAUGUGAUUUAUCCAAAUAAUAGUUAAUAUAAUUGAGGUCACACCCAAUUAACACUUCUCCCUCCUGAAAUCUUGAAGUUUAUUCAGUAUUUCUUUUAUGCUAUUUAUUUGGUUUAAAUUAGGGGCAUAAAUUGAUGCUAUUGUGAACUGUUGAUUUUCUAUUGUAGCCUUUAUAAAUAAAAAUCUACCAUUAGGAUCUUUGCAGAUUGCUUUCUGAUGAUAUCUGACUGAUUUGGAAAUCAAAAUCGAGACCCCUCGCGAUUUAGAUGAACCAGCGGCAUGAUGUUGGGUUUGGAUCCAUUUCGCUUUGAGCACAGGAUCCUCUCUUGCGUGUGUGUAGAUGAGUUUCUUGUAAGGUUGCUGUGUCUGCCUUGUUGUGUGCCAAAUUAUCUAAUAUACGUCUUCUCUUGACCACAUUG